rnacentral:rRNA from 1 species
UACAGAGGGUGCGAGCGUUAAUCGGAAUUACUGGGCGUAAAGCGCGCGUAGGCGGCUUUGCAAGUCGGGUGUGAAAUCCCCAGGCUUAACCUGGGAACUGCAUUCGAGACUGCAUUGCUAGAGUAUGGGGGAGGGAAGUGGAAUUUCCGGUGUAGCGGUGAAAUGCGUAGAUAUCGGAAGGAACAUCAGUGGCGAAGGCGGCGUUCUGGACUGCAACUGACACUGAGGAACGAAAGCCAGGGGAGCAAACGGG